CAGCAGCCACGGUAAUACGUAGGUGGCAAGCGUUGUCCGGAAUUAUUGGGCGUAAAGGGCUCGCAGGCGGUUUCUUAAGUCUGAUGUGAAAGCCCCCGGCUCAACCGGGGAGGGUCAUUGGAAACUGGGAAACUUGAGUGCAGAAGAGGAGAGUGGAAUUCCACGUGUAGCGGUGAAAUGCGUAGAGAUGUGGAGGAACGCCAGUGGCGAAGGCGACUCUCUGGCCUGUAACUGACGCUGAGGAGCGAAAGCGUGGGGAGCGAACAGGAUUAGAUACCCCAGUAGUCCCUGUCUCUUAUAC
rnacentral:rRNA from 1 species